AUCACUUCUCGGCCUUCUAGCUAAGAUCAAGUGUAGCAUAUCUGUUCUUAUCAGUUUAAUAUCUCCUAUACCCUCUAUCCAAGGACAACAUAUAAAAUGGAUUUUUUUGGCCCUGGCUGGGUGGCUCAGUUGGUUGGAGAGUCAUCCCAUAAACCAAAUGUUUAGGGGUUUGAUUCCAGGUCA